rnacentral:rRNA from 1 species
GAUGAACGCUAGCUACAGGCUUAACACAUGCAAGUCGCGGGGCAGCAUGGGGGUUGCUUGCAAUCCCUGAUGGCGACCGGCGCACGGGUGAGUAACGCGUAUCCAACCUGCCCUUCACCACGGGAUAACCCGGCGAAAGUCGGACUAAUACCGUAUGUUGUCCAUUGACGGCAUCCGAUUUGGACGAAAGGCUUUGCGGUGAGGGAUGGGGAUGCGUCCGAUUAGCUUGACGGCGGGGUAACGGCCCACCGUGGCAACGAUCGGUAGGGGUUCUGAGAGGAAGGUCCCCCACACUGGAACUGAGACACGGUCCAGACUCCUACGGGAGGCAGCAGUGAGGAAUAUUGGUCAAUGGGCGGAAGCCUGAACCAGCCAAGUAGCGUGCAGGAUGACGGCCCUAUGGGGUUUGUAAAACUGC